UUUUACAUGGGUUCACAUGCCCUGAGUGUGUUUUGUGCUUGCAGCUGGGAUGCACGGGGUGCUGGUGCUUGGGAGCAGAGCUCUGGUGGGAUCUUCUCAUCGCAGCGGCAAAUGAUGGCAGUUUGAAUCUCAUGCUGGCACUGGGGCAAUGAAGUUGAAGGUCCCGAUGCGGGCCCAUUGCAUCUCUCUGGAUAUGACCCACUUGCAAUGGGGUGCGCCGCGGGAAUGGCCAAAGCUAUUCAGUUCUCCAUCCAGGAAGAAUCCAGCUGGAAAGAAGGCAGUUCUGCUGUGCUGAUGGCAAACUGCAUCCUUACAACUCCGA